GAUGUACACAGUGUCACGUGCUGCCAUUCUGCUCAGCAUCGUCUAUUUCUAUUCCUCUUUUGGCCGCUUUGUCGUGGUGAUCGGUGCCAUGCUGCUGGUUUAUCUGCACCAGGCUGGCUGGUUUCCCUUUAGAGCAGAACUGCAGAAUCCAAGAGCUGGAGAAGGCCCACAAGACGAGGCGGAGCAAAA